rnacentral:rRNA from 1 species
UACGAACUGUGCAAACGUUAUUCGGAUUCACUGGGCUUAAAGGGUGCGUAGGCGGCUUGCCAAGUAGGGCGUGAAAGCCCCCGGCUUAACCGGGGAAUUGCGCCCUAAACUGGCGAGCUGGAGUGAGAUAGGGGUGUGUGGAACUUCCGGUGGAGCGGUGAAAUGUGUUGAUAUCGGAAGGAACGCCGGUGGCGAAAGCGACACACUGGGUCUCAACUGACGCUGAGGCACGAAAGCCAGGGGAGCGAACGGG